rnacentral:lncRNA from 1 species
GGAUUUCGGUCAUUCACCCAUUCUUGAGCCUCUGGUGCCAGGCCAUUACAAAACUGCUCCAGUAGCAACAUCUGGCGUAACUCUUCCAUGGUGGUAGCUCUGUUGGCUUGUAUCCAGCCUUGUGAGGCUUGGUCAAGCUUGUGUGCCCACUCCGCAUGUGAGUCUUUGUCCCCUUUUUUCAAUUCUCGGAACUUGCGCCGGUAUGCCUCUGGGGUAAUGGCAUACCUUUCUAAUAGC